GUUUGUUACGAUUUUUAUAUGAAGUAUAAUUGUAUUUAUUUUUCACAACGUUUGAAAAUUCAAAUUUGAUGUUUAGGAUUCAUUCCCCUCAAAAAUUUUAAUUUCAAGUUCAAGGCAAAACCUUGACACUUGUUUACUUACAUAGUAAAGCUUUUGCUAUGAAAGAAAAAAAUCUUACACUCUUACUAUAAUUUGAUCUUUGUGAAGAGCGAAAUACCUUGCAUAUAAAUUCUCUUUAGUAUGUAUUCGCAAUUUUUUUUUAUUGUAGUUUUCUUUUAACUAGACAUAAAGAGAGUUUAAGCUGGUUACUGUGGCUGCAUUCCUUUUUUUUAAAUAGGAGAGUAAGCUUUAAGUGUGUGGAGUUUUUUCUUGUUUUUUUUUUUGUAGAAGUAAAUAUGUUUACGGUCAGAGACGGUCAUAUGGAAUUUUGAAAACCAUAAUUUACUAUAAUUGAAUAAAUUUUAUCGUCUGGCAGAAUAAUAAUAAUUUGUGUACAGAUCCACUUGAUCACCUACAAAUUAGUCGUUCGCUUUUCUAUUAGAGAUUAUAUUAGAAACCUAUCUAAUAUUAGACGCAUUUACUAUAGCAUAUAUUUUUUUUUAAAUUACAUCAUUAAGAAAAUUGAAUGACUAGUUGAAUUUCCGUCCCUGUUUUAGUUAUUUUGUCUUAUAAAUCAAGUAUUGUUUCGAUUCCAGUUCGUCCCUUUUCAACUGAAGGAAUUUUUUUUUCUUAAUUCUAACGGGACAUUGUUUUUAAAUAGGAAAGAAUUUUAGUUAUUAGCUUCUGGUUUUUGUAAAACCAAAUCAUUAUCAAAGUGGAAUUUGUAGAGACAACUACUGCAGUGGGAAAAAGUGUUAAGUGUUAAAAAAGUAUUUUUUUUUAAGUUAAUUGUGUUUAAAUUUUAUUAGAACUUUUCGCACAAUUGUAAGGAAAUUGUUAUUAGUUGCCAAAUUAUUUUUGAAAAUUGCUGGAAAUCAAAGGACGUUACGGAAAUACAAGGGUGUCUGCAAUAUAGCGAUCUUGCACCCACGUGUCCCAAUAAUCACAAGUUAUAACCCGGAUUAGCCUCAAGUACGUCUUUAAUACCGUCUUUAUUUUUGACCUGGAUUAACCACAACAACCCGUAUUACGUAAUUUACGUGAACCAGCGUGUUCUAACCCGUAAUGAGGGACAAUUAUAAAACGUGGGAAUAACAUAACUUCAAGGUCCCCACGUGCUGCUAUGAAAACGUAAAGAGCAGGUAUUACAUAAUUGUUUCCCUAUUCGGAAUUUACCAUCAUAAGACAACUUACAUCAUCUAAACGACCCACGUGUUUUCCAAACGUGAUAAAAUUUGUUUUUAAGGCAAGACAUUCUUCUUCAAUAUAACGCUAUUUAGGUAGCCCACGUGUUUUUGUUCGGAAAAUCACAGUAGCUUAUUCAGACACUUCAAACCUAUGUACAUAAUAUAAAGAAGUCCACGUGGUUCCUUAGGCUAUAUAAAUUGGAAGAUUACAUAACUUUAAAUCGGAUAACUAAUCGUCAAUAUUAAAGUAAAUAGCGUAUCAGAUCUUCUCUACCAAAUUAUUCAAUUUUCUCAAAAUUUAAUAUUUGGCUUCAAAUACUCCAUUUCUUCUUCAAAAUUAAUAAAAGUUGUUUUUGCAAGUACAUGCAUUAGAGUUUAAAUAUACAUACCAAAAGGAAAAAUUCAUUCAUAACGUUUUAAAAUUAA